CAGGCGCGCACCCAAUGGCAGCACCCUCUCCAACAUUUUCCCCACCAGAGAGGCAAGUGUCCUACAUUUGUACGUAAAGGUCCCUGAGUGGCUAGGUGGAGAGGCUCGGAUGUCUUUUCCUGGAGCGGGCCUCGGGGAGCUGCAGCAGCCCCAGCCUCAGGCACCACAGCCAAGCGAGCGCGCCUUGGGCUCGCUGCUCUGCACGCAGCUGGAGGUCUGGGCCGCUGACCCUCUGGCCACGUAGUCAACCCGAGGAUGUGUGCCCCGGGGCUCGGCCUUGCCUCGGGUGAGAAGGCUAGUCACCAUUCAGGGUGCAGGUGUCAUGGCCUGGAAAUGGCAAUAUCUGAGCAAACAGGUGGGCGUCGCUUCCCGGCGGUGCGGUGGCCGCUGGCUCGCAGCGCGCUCCAGCUUUCGGCGCCGCCGCCGCCCCUUUGCUCUGCGGACUCAGCCAGUUCCCGGGUGGCCCAGCUGGGUGGCUCCGAGGCCUGCCCCCUUGGGCUGCGGCGGGAGGCGGGGACUGCAGUGCCGAGUGUAGGGCGCCCCAGCCGGGCUGGCGGUUCACGCUGCGCUCGGGCCUCUGCCGGGAGGGCGCCCUGGCGCCAAACCCGGGCGGGCAGGGGGGUGGAGAGCCGAUUGAGUUUAUUCCCAUUCAGAAUUUAGAGGCUGGUGGAGACAGAGAGUCUCCUAAAUGGAUGCAAGUCUCCUGAAAGUCUGGGCCGGAAGCCUCGAAACUUUCUGCCACGCAAAGCCCCAGCUAGUCUCCAGGGCUCGGUCCUGGUUCCCUUUGUGCAGGCCCGGAAGUGUCCGCCCGGUUUUCCCACUGCCUGGAGGGGCCCAGGGUCGCGGAUAGACUCGGACAAGGCUCCGUUUACUUUCAGUUUGUCUUAGUUGACUAAUGGCGGGACUGGUUGUAAUGCGUGCUCUGAGAUUUUCUCCAGGAUUUGUCACUUUAAUUUUGCAAUAUGAGAAAGAGAAGCUAACAAAGGAAAGCCUCUUCAAAAAAUGGGAUUUCCUUGGCCUUAGCAGUUCUGGUGUGUUCCACUGCCAACACUAGACAGGAAAUGUCCAGUGUUGAUAGAAAUUACCUCUAAAGUCUUGAUUCUGGAAGAAGCUAGAGAAAUGGCUCUUGGAUUUCUAAUACUGGCACUUCUUUGGUGACUGUUUCCCAUGAAUUACCUCAACUUGCACUGAAAGCCACAAGAAAACCAAAAAAUGCAAACUACAAGCCUGAAUAUGCCUACAGAUUACCUGUGUCUUUAAUGUGUCUUGAGCAGUUUGGAUACAUGCUUGAUAUUUUGUGGCAACAAAAUACUAGUGCCAGACCUGUAUACCUAUGUAACAAACCUGCACGUUCUGCACAUGUAUCCCAGAACAUAACAUAUAAUUUUAAAAAAUUCAAAAAUAAAUAAAUAAAAUUUAAAGACUCAAAAAAAAAAAUACUAGUGCCAGGACUCCACUUUUAGUAUCACUUUUCAUAUUUUAGUAUUUAGUAUUAUCAUUUUAUCUUUCAAUGUAUUAGUGAAGCUUCUACGGUAUUGUUCUGUCUUUUCAAAUCAACAGGUGAUAGUAGGAAAGCAGGAAUAAUCUCCCAGGAAUCAUUAUUUUAUUGAGAGUUAUUAGGGAGUAAU
rnacentral:lncRNA from 10 species